rnacentral:pre_miRNA from 1 species
GGUCUGGCUGUUGUGGUGUGCAAAACUUCCUAUGUUGCUUUUUUGCCACACUGCAACACUUUACAGA